rnacentral:ncRNA from 1 species
CCGCCAUCCCCGGGGAGCCGGCGAGUCCGCAAGGACAAUGGCUGAGAGGUGGGCAUCGCACCCCACGACCCGUCGAACCUGAACCGAUUAGCAUCGGCGGAGGGAGUGGACCGGGCUGCCAUU